rnacentral:tRNA from 1 species
GCGGGAGUAGCCAAGCCCGGUCAAAGGCGGCGGACUUAAGAUCCGCUCUCGUAGGAGUCCGCGAGUUCGAAGCUCGCCUCCCGCACCA